rnacentral:rRNA from 1 species
UGGGGAAUAUUGCGCAAUGGGCGAAAGCCUGACGCAGCCACGCCGCGUGAGUGAUGAAGGCCUUCGGGUUGUAAAGCUCUGUCGGGAGGGACGAAGGGGAAACCCUGACGGUACCUCGCAAGAAAGCACCGGCUAACUCUGUGCCAGCAGCCGCGGUAAUACAGAGGGUGCAAGCGUUGCUCGGAUUUACUGGGCGUAAAGCAUACGCAGACGGUGAGAAAGGUCGGAUGUGAAAGCCCCGGGCUCAACCCGGGAACUGCAUCCGAAACCAUCUCGCUCGAGUGUGGGAGAGGGAAGCGGAAUUCCUGGUGUAGAGGUGAAAUUCGUAGAUAUCAGGAGGAACACCGGCGGCGAAGGCGGCUUCCUGGCCCAUUACUGACGUUCAGGUACGAAAGCGUGGGUAGCAAACAGGAUUAGAUACCCUGGUAGUCCACGCCGUAAACGAUGUGUGCUGGAUGUCGGGGGUAUUCACCCCCUCGGUAUCGAAGCCAACGCGAUAAGCACACCGCCUGGGGAGUACGGCCGCAAGGUUGAAACUCAAAGGAAUUGACGGGGUCAUAGCUGUUUCCU